GGUCACGGAAAGGAUCUACAUUUACAUAUGUUGAUUAAGUUAGGCAGAUUCUCCCAUUUCAUGGACUUAUGGCAUCAAUCACAUUUAUUAGCCCACAUCUAAGGAAGGGAAACGUUAUGCAAGAGUCUUUCUUCGGCCAAGAUUUUCUUCGAGCAACGUGAUUGCGCUGAGCUUUUCAUACGACUUGUUCCAUGUUUUGUCACAAUUAACAUGUGUUGAAAGAUUAUUAAAAGAACCGGCUCAGGUCCCGAUAGACAGGUCGAGAACCCUCCAAGUAGGCUAUCA